GUCAGUGUCGUCUAGUGGUUAGGACGUAAGCUUAACACGCUUAAGAUCGAGGGUUCAAUCCCCUCCACUGAUA
rfam:Albugo candida, Ac Nc2, WGS project CAIX01000000 data, contig: AcNc2_CONTIG_3_length_317577